UACGGGGGGGGCAAGCGUUGUUCGGAAUUACUGGGCGUAAAGGGCUCGUAGGCGGCCAACUAAGUCAGACGUGAAAUCCCCAGGCUCAACCUGGGAACUGCGUCUGAUACUGGAUGGCUUGAAUCCGGGAGAGGGAUGCAGAAUUCCAGGUGUAGCGGUGAAAUGCGUAGAUAUCUGGAGGAAUACCGGUGGCGAAGGCGGCAUCCUGGACCGGAAUUGACGCUGAGGAGCGAAAGCGAGGGGAGCAAACGGG
rnacentral:rRNA from 1 species